UCGCUUCUAAAAAAAAGCUACAUAGCUCAGUGGGGUCUUACUUGGAAAAAUAAAAAAAUAGUUUAAUUUGGGGGAGCCGGAAGGCAAGCGCCCUUAAUGGACUCGUCUGCCGGGUCGAUGGUUCCCCCGAGCUGUUGCCGUCCGCUCGUGGGAACAAUGGCGCUUCCUGUUCCUCAGACCUGGAGCAGGCGAUCCAGAACGGCGCUCUGUGGAUGAACCAGUGGAGCCCCGCCGUGCCGGCCGCGCAGGUCUACCCGCCGUCGCCGAACAGCGACCUGUCCUUACCGGCGUUCGCCAACCACACGCUACCGCUGGGGCCCGGUAAAUUGCAGGCCCCUGCACCGACGGGUUGCAGCAAGACGAUGCGCGGUUGCGCUGCGGCCUGACGGAAGCUGCGCUGACGAACGGCCGCCCGGCCGUUACCUCACCGGUCCCCAGCCCGCACCGCCGCCGAGUUCCAUUCACGCGUCGCCACCGCUGCCCCCGCUGUUCCCACCACCGCUGUUGCCGCCGCCGCCGCGAAGUACAUUUCCCAAGGAUGAGUGGUCGCAAAACAUCGUGCCCAUCGUCCCACCGGUGAUUCAAGACGGGGACGCUGCGAGAGCGUCGCCGAGCAUGCACGUGCCGACGGCGAGGCUCUUUACGGCGUGGGGUGUGCCGUGUCCGUUGGGCCGCAUUUUAAAGGGAGUGGCGCGACGCAGAGGAUGUCACGUUGACUGUGCGCCGCUGUACAGUUAUAUGGAGAGGUCAUGAUAAUCGUAUAAUGACAACCCCCUUUGUCAGUCCACCGCUGGAUGAAAGUCUAAUUCACGCCGAUUUGGUCAUUGGGGUUUGACCAAACUUCACCGCGUUGGUCAAUGCGGGUUGGUGAAAUGGGCAGGGGAUACCGGUUUAGAUAUCGCCUACGGCUGACGUUAGCCAUGGCCGGGAAUAGAACCCGUAUUACCGGGUUCACGGCGCGCAAACCACUGUCUUCCUCUUCCUUAGUGUGGAAUUUCCACCAUGGGUCCAUGGCGAUUGGGGCAACACCUUUAGUAUGUAUGUUGAACUUCUGUCGCACCGUACAUAGCCAGCCUCGAUAAUCGCGCUAGCUAGAUGUAUAACGCUGCAUCGAUUCAUCAAUGUGGAUUCUUAAGCUCGAAUGGCAUCGCGUGUGUGUAAGAGUUGAUGGGUUUUUUUGCAUGUGUCGUAAUUUGUUAACGAGACCCAAAAAGACGCGAAAUUCACCAUCAUUCAUCGCAGUGUCUAAAUAUUAAUGGAACCUCAAAAGAUGGGGUUAGAGGCUGAAUCGUAUUGACCCACGUGAGUUAUGCCGCUAUCGUCCGUAUCGGCUGUGCAGGUGAAGCAAGACAAUUCAGGGUCGAUCAUCGAUGGUCAAUCGUCGGCGCCGGUCACCGAUGCCUCCGCCUAGUCUCUUCAAAAUGCCAACUUCACCGCCAUACUUGCUCAUAAUUCAUGGAUGUCCGAUUGGGCCCAUCACAACCCUGCUGGCCCGGCUGUAGUUCACGCCACUCUGUCUGGCUGCGGCCACCAAGGUCGCACGGCCGGCCAGGUUCCAGUCGCUCAAGCUGGCACUUUCCCGGUGCCCGCGUGGGCCGCAGCAGCCACCGCGGUGCCUGCAUCCCCCACACUAUCGGGGCCAUCGGUGCGGGUCGCCACCCUGGAGGAGCGGCGUUCGUGCCCACCGACGCAGGCGCCCGACCUGGCUGACGGCGGCCGGCGUGGCUCCUCGCAAGCCGCCGACGCCGCCGUCAAUCGUGCCGCAACAGCUCGGCCUGACGCCAGGAGUUUUCUCUUGGCCGCGCACCGACAGCUCUUUCCCGGACGCGUCGAGCAAUCGCCACGGGCUGCCACUGGCGCCGAACGCAGUCUUCCGUCGCCACGGAACCUGGCCACAGUCGCUGGGACCGUCGUCGUUCCCACCGCUGGGCGGCGGAAUUUCUCCGUUCUGCAGCAACAGGCGCCGGCGGAGCUUCCCGGCGGUAGCCGUGGCACGCCAUUCGCUCGCGCCGGUUCGGCACGCGCCGCCUCCGCCACGCCGCUCGUGCCGGUGACGUCCGUGCCGGGUGAGGCGCAGUGCACGGUCGGCGCCCCAGGAGGAAAUCUGCAGGGGGCAGCAAGCGAAUCGCCCGCGCCGUGCAGAUGGAACGCACGCGCACAGAGCUCCGCGGCCUCUGGUCAUGCCAAGUUGCAGAAUGACGACUCGGCCGCAGAAACGUGUUCGACGCACUGCGACGCUGCCGCCGUGCAGGUCUCCACCUGAGCGCCCUGCGGAGGCAGAAGCUCGACCGGGAGCUCGUGCUACGCGUCAAGGAGAUGCGGCGGCGCGAGCGUGCUCAGCUGUCCCUCGCCUCUCUGCCGUGUCCGCCGCCGGCGGCGUGCCAGAAUUCUGGCGCCACAUGCGCCACGGCCGAGAAGCUUCUCCGCUGUUGUCCGGCGCAGGAAGCGCCCCGGCUGGUUGGGAUUCCCGCUCGGGAGUGGCGGGGGAUGAGGCGCACCAGCGGGAGCAGUGCGGCUUCCCGCUGGGUCGGCUGAGAGAGGAAAACGGGGAUGAGUUUGAGGUCGGCGGAGGCGGCAAUGGCGACAACGUUCCGGGUCGAAGGGAGAGGCGCGUUGUCGCCCUCAACCAGCAUUCACCUGUGUUUGUCCAGACGUGGCAGCAAAGGUUGGUGAUCAUGACGCCGGUGACGCAACCGGGCUCUGAGUUCCAGGACCUCCACCUCGUCGGGCAGCUCGCUGGUGCCCCCCGGCUCCCGCUGUCGCACCUUCAAAGUUUGCACGUCACGGUCGACAACAAUCUAGCCUGGCGGAGUGGCGAUCGGAGAUGGCGAGCAAUCGUCGUCACAGAUGGAGAAUCGAUUCCUGCGGCCAAGUGGGUUUUUAUAGGGCGUGGAGGAUGACGCGUGAGAGAGCGAGGCCCCGGUGAGCUGGGGGACGUGGCGGAGUCGGGAGCGCCGGAGAGGGGAGGAGCGGCUGACGACGGGCGACCAAAUCGACUGCGCGGACGAUGGCCCACUCGCUCGCCGGAGGCUUGGCCCUGCCUCUUGUGCCACGUUGCUCAUGGUGGAAUGUAAUCACGGCGUCGGUCAGCCGUCUGUGCGCAGCCGUCACUGCCGUCACCGCCGUCGCCGCGGACGGCGAUGGCGCGGACGGCGUGACCGAGUUGCGGUCCUCGGCUGACCAAUAGAGUGGUUCUCGUAAAGGUCGUAAUCAUUCUUAAAUGUUACGGUUCCAUGCGUGGAUCGGGAACCAGUAGCGUUCGAUGUUAAUCAAGGGGACCGAGUGGCACCGCUGAGAAUCCUGGGAUCGAAUCCUUGUGUCAGCUGCCAGUGUUUUUUAAACCAGGUUCUUAUGGCUGGAGAAGUUGAUGGGUCUAAGUCCUGGUCACCAAUGACUGAACGAAAUUUAAAUCGGGUUAAAGUUGGUUCUGAACUAAUUUGGAUAAAUUCCCACUGAGAAUUAAAAGCAUCCAAGUUUAACUAUCAUGCGACGAUCCUCGGCGGGAAGGCGGCAGUCACUGUGUAUGGACCAGAGGUCUCAGAUGUAACUCUGUGGAGUCAGCUUCCGCAGAGUAUCCCACUGCUCUGCUAAAACUAUGAAUCUAACUUUGCAACAACAAAAAAGUUUUAAAAUAUUUAAGAGUUUAAGAUAUGUUUUCUAAUUUUACACAGUAUCAAUAGAAAGGGACGUACAUUUAACUUACUGUUUAGCAUUACGAUUGUUUCUUCUCAAUACAACAAUUUUUCUACCUACGUGACUUUACCGAAAGAACCAAAGAGUAUGGAUUCUUGCAGUAACGAAAGCUUCAAAUCAAGAUAGUAAGCAAAUCACUAAAAAUAUUUUGUAAACUAACACUUUACAGUAUAAUUUUACCAGCGAAAGCCCGCAGAGUUAUUCUUUUUCAGAAGCGAUCUGGCCACAAAGAGUACUGGAAGAGGAGAGAGGACUUCGUGAUUACUGCGAUUCUCUUAUUGAUUUGUCUCCGCGGCCUUUGUGUUUUGAGACCUUGGCACGUUAGCCAGGCAGGAGACGUGGUUGUUGUGUUUGUCUCUCUGCUGCAGCCCCUCCCCCACUGGGCCUCUCGCUAAGACUGCAGGUUGCCUUGUUUUAAAUCCUCGUUUUAUUAAAC